rnacentral:misc_RNA from 1 species
UCCGGUUUAUCACCGGCAGUUCCCCAUGAGUCCCCGGCAUUACCCAGGCUAAAUCGCCGGUCUCCCGGCCGGUCGCCGGCGAUUUAGCCUGGGUAAGGUUCUUCGCGUUGCAUCGAAUUAAGCCACAUGCUCCACCGCUUGUGCGGGCCCCCGUCAAUUCCUUUGAGUUUCAUCCUUGCGGACGUACUCCCCAGGUGGUGUGCUUACUGCGUUAGCUGCGACACCGACCCCGAAGGGCCAACAUCUAGCACACAUCGUUUACAGCGUGGACUAC